GGGUUGCUAACUCAACGGUAGAGU
rnacentral:tRNA from 1 species